rnacentral:rRNA from 1 species
UGAGUAACCUGCCCUUCACUCUGGGAUAACUCCGGGAAAACCGGGGCUAAUACUGGAUAUGACUCGAACAGGCAUCUGUUUCGGGUGGAAAGAUUUAUUGAUGGAGGAUGGACUCGCGGCCUAUCAGCUUGUCGGUGAGGUAAUGGCUCACCAAGGCGACGACGGGUAGCCGGCCUGAGAGGGCGAUCGGCCACACUGGGACUGAGACACGGCCCAGACCUCCGUACGGGAGGNA